GAUGAACGCUGGCGGCGUGCCUAAUACAUGCAAGUCGAGCGAACGGACGAGAAGCUUGCUUCUCUGAUGUUAGCGGCGGACGGGUGAGUAACACGUGGAUAACCUACCUAUAAGACUGGGAUAACUUCGGGAAACCGUAGCUAAUACCGGCUAAUAUUUUGAACCGCAUUGUUCAAAAGUGAAAGACGGUCUUGCUGUCACUUAUAGAUGGAUCCGCGCUGCAUUAGCUAGUUGGUAAGGUAACGGCUUACCAAGGCAACGAUGCAUAGCCGACCUGAGAGGGUGAUUGGCCACACUGGAACUGAGACACGGUCCAGACUCCUACGGGAGGCAGCAGUAGGGAAUCUUCCGCAAUGGGCGAAAGCCUGACGGAGCAACGCCGCGUGAGUGAUGAAGGUCUUCGGAUCGUAAAACUCUGUUAUUAGGGAAGAACAUAUGUGUAAGUAACUGUGCACAUCUUGACGGUACCUAAUCAGAAAGCCACGGCUAACUACGUG
rnacentral:rRNA from 1 species